UAAUUUGUUUGGCGGGUUUUCAGCUGGAAGUGUCUUGACUACAGGAACACGGUAAUCUUUUAUGACGUUUAUAUUUUAACGUGGCUCUUUAUAAAACCAAAAGUCAUUGUUUUAUGAUCCAUUUUAUUUAGUCUACGGGUUCCCGAGCCGUCUACUGAAAACCAACAAAACGUUUUUAAGAAGUCUGAAGAGGGGUAGACAUCUAAUUUUAAUCAAAUAAAACGUGAAUGAAGAAGAUACUACGGUACUAUUCCACUCCAUAGGUGGCUGCUAUGGCUAUGCACCUGCAAUCACCAUGAUCUGACGGCAAAGGGUGAAGAUUAUUUCUCUGCUGGUUUAGGCAGUGAUGAGAAUCGCUCUAUGGAUUGUAUUUGCAUGCUCCUUCUUUGAUCUGCCGGUCCUUCUCAGGCUGAUCUGCAGUGUUUGGGCAGUGCUGCAUUUCGUGUAAUUUGUGUCUCCUGGAAUCAACAAAUUUUGGGACAAGCCAAACUAGGUUCCUCUCAAAAGCAGGGCUUCAUUGUGGCAUUAAAAUCCAUGAAGGGCAAAGUGGUAAUGGUUCCCAUGGUCUGAUUGUCAGAACUAGAUUUGUGCCAAUUGCAGUAGAGUUGCCCAUAUCACUUCUCCUUGGAAAAUCAAUGCUGCCAUCUUGAAAGGCAUUUCAGUUAAUGUAUUAAUGGCUUUUGUUCAAACGUGUGGUUAUGCAGACAUAAAAUGCUUACUUUGGGCAGUACCAUAUUCAAACCAAUUGAGUAUCAAUAUUUAUAGUCUUAGGUAAAUAAACAAUGUAAUAUAGCCAUACUGUUAAAAUCUUAAUUUAUCACCGUACUUGGGGAAAAAAUCUUGGCUGAGAAAUAAACUGACGCAGUGAAUGCAUUUUAGUUGUCUAUUAAUAGAUUCUGUUUGGAAAAUGGUUUUUGUA